UAUGGGUCUAAAUAUGGGGCUCCACGUAAUAAGCCAUUAAAAUGAAGAAAAAGGGAAAGAAGGAGAUGGAGGAGGGAGUGUCCAACUAAUUGUUUUAAUUGAAAAUUAUCUCAUUGUUAGAGAAAAUAAAACUAGAAACUUGGGGAAGCUAAUUUCUCAAAAUCACAAUGCUAGGUCGAGGCAGAACCAAACCAUGGAUACGGGUCCUUUGCUCAAAUUCUUCUCAAUGAAGACUCUGUGAUGAAGAGGCCACUUCCAUUUAAAGGCAGCGACACUUAGAAAAUCACAGGCAUUAAAACUUAGAAGAGGUCACCUUAUCCAACGUCCCAGCCAGCACAGCCAUCCUUUCACAGCAUCCAUGACAUUCAGCCUCCUCUCAGACAUGGGAAGAUCACCUCUUCAUGAAACAGCAGAUUCUUCAAGGGCACAUCAUAUGCUUCUGUACCUAAAAUCUCCAGGGCUGCAAAUGUGGAACUCUACCCAGCCAGAGGACCUGAACAUGCGCCAUCAUUCUCUCGCUGGAAUAUCCUCUCCCACUUCCCUUCUUCUCAUCAGCCACUGUGCCUAAAUGAUUUCAACAAAUCCGUCAGGUGCCA
rnacentral:lncRNA from 10 species